AGCGACAAGAGGCAUCGAACGACACCGCCCAACGCGAACCGCUCCUCUUCCUCUUCGUUCCGCCCUUGCUCGGGAUCGAUCUCUUGCUCGCCGUCGCCAGACUCCCGGCGCCCGUCCGCCCCGCCCGUCGCCCUCCUGCUCGGCGCUCUCCACUCCCUGCCGGCUACCACAAAGGAUUAGGCGAACGGCGGAUCAGCGGCACACCUAAAUUCCGGCACGAUCGCUGCAGCACCAUACAAGAACCAGCAGUUCAUCAAUAUUGUCCGUCAGGCACUACUGUCAGUGAGUGAAUUCACAAGAAGUGACCAGUUCACUGUUCACGCACGAUCUAAAAAAUGAAGCACAAGCAGCUGAUUUGAAACGUUUGUGGGAUAAAGCUGCAAAGAAACCGAAGAUAGUUACUGAGGUUGGAAGCCAAAACCAAGAUGAAAAUGUGAGCAAUCCUCCUUCCAAUAAAAAUGUGAGUUAAAUAGCAUUUUUAUUGUUCUUCCAAUACAAUUUAUUUACUUGAGAGCUGAGAGCGUUGUCACUACUAUGAAGUAUCAAUAAUUUGUAAUUCCGUUCUUGUUAUUCUGAAGCUACAUAUAUUAA